GGCAGGGUGAGUCGACCCCUAAGGCGAGGCCGAAAGGCGUAGUCGAUGGGAAACGGGUUAAUAUUCCCGUACUUGGUGUUACUGCGAAGGGGGGACGGAGAAGGCUAUGUUGGCCGGGCGACGGUUGUCCCGGUUUAAGCGUGUAGGUGUGUGUUCCAGGUAAAUCCGGUUCACUUUAACACUGAGGCGUGACGACGAGGCACUACGGUGCUGAAGCAACAAAUGCCCUGCUUCCAGGAAAAGCCUCUAAGCAUCAGGUAACAUCAAAUCGUACCCCAAACCGACACAGGUGGUCAGGUAGAGAAUACCAAGGCGCUUGAGAGAACUCGGGUGAAGGAACUAGGCAAAAUGGUGCCGUAACUUCGGGAGAAGGCACGCUGACACGUAGGUGAAGUGAUUUACUCACGGAGCUGAAGUCAGUCGAAGAUACCAGCUGGCUGCAACUGUUUAUUAAAAACACAGCACUGUGCAAACACGAAAGUGGACGUAUACGGUGUGACGCCUGCCCGGUGCCGGAAGGUUAAUUGAUGGGGUCAGCGCAAGCGAAGCUCCUGAUCGAAGCCCCGGUAAACGGCGGCCGUAACUAUAACGGUCCUAAGGUAGCGAAAUUCCUUGUCGGGUAAGUUCCGACCUGCACGAAUGGCGUAAUGAUGGCCAGGCUGUCUCCACCCGAGACUCAGUGAAAUUGAACUCGCUGUGAAGAUGCAGUGUACCCGCGGCAAGACGGAAAGACCCCGUGAACCUUUACUAUAGCUUGACACUGAACAUUGAGCCUUGAUGUGUAGGAUAGGUGGGAGGCUUUGAAGCGUGGACGCCAGUCUGCGUGGAGCCGACCUUGAAAUACCACCCUUUAAUGUUUGAUGUUCUAACGUGGACCCGUGAUCCGGGUUGCGGACAGUGUCUGGUGGGUAGUUUGACUGGGGCGGUCUCCUCCUAAAGAGUAACGGAGGAGCACGAAGGUUGGCUAAUCCUGGUCGGACAUCAGGAGGUUAGUGCAAUGGCAUAAGCCAGCUUGACUGCGAGCGUGACGGCGCGAGCAGGUGCGAAAGCAGGUCAUAGUGAUCCGGUGGUUCUGAAUGGAAGGGCCAUCGCUCAACGGAUAAAAGGUACUCCGGGGAUAACAGGCUGAUACCGCCCAAGAGUUCAUAUCGACGGCGGUGUUUGGCACCUCGAUGUCGGCUCAUCACAUCCUGGGGCUGAAGUAGGUCCCAAGGGUAUGGCUGUUCGCCAUUUAAAGUGGUACGCGAGCUGGGUUUAGAACGUCGUGAGACAGUUCGGUCCCUAUCUGCCGUGGGCGCUGGAGAACUGAGGGGGGCUGCUCCUAGUACGAGAGGACCGGAGUGGACGCAUCACUGGUGUUCGGGUUGUCAUGCCAAUGGCACUGCCCGGUAGCUAAAUGCGGAAGAGAUAAGUGCUGAAAGCAUCUAAGCACGAAACUUGCCCCGAGAUGAGUUCUCCCUGAGACUUAAAGUCUCCUGAAGGAACGUUGAAGACGACGACGUUGAUAGGCCGGGUGUGUAAGCGCAGCGAUGCGUUGAGCUAACCGGUACUAAUGAACCGUGAGGCUUAACCUU
rnacentral:rRNA from 1 species